AAGUCGUAACAAGGUUUCCGUAGGUGAACCUGCGGAAGGAUCAUUAGCGAGUAAGGCCUUGCCCUCGUGGCUCGGUCAGUCCCACAUAUACACCUUUAAUCUGUGAACCCGUUGUGCUGCGAGGGUGAAAGCUUCGGCGACUACCCCGAGCGGUGCGGCAAUCUAUAUACCCUUUAAAUGAAAUGGAAACGGAAGUAAAUCAUAAAUUAAUACAACUUUCAACAACGGAUCUCUUGGCUCAC
rnacentral:misc_RNA from 1 species